rnacentral:lncRNA from 1 species
UUCCGCCUAGCGUCGGGCAGAAGAGUCCUGCCUGUUUCAGCCCAGCCUGAGACAGGGAACCAGCCUUCUGACUCAUCUCUCCCGGGAGCCAGGCACACUGGGGCCUUGUGCGGGGGCCGGGGGGGGUGACUGACUCUGGGCCCAAGGCAAGACCACAUGGCAUCUUUCUUUCCCCAGUCAAGCCAAGUCUCUGUAGGCAGGGCAGUAAGGGGCCCCAGCCACCUGGACUCCCCUGGAGGGGGGCUAUGGCACAUUUUUUAACUCUAACAUUUCAGGCCAGAUGCACUUGUGGCGUGCCCAGCCCUGUGUUGAACUGCUGGCAUCACCAGGUGCCUGUCUCAUGGCCCAAGCACCUGGGAGACCUGUGCUGUGUCCUCCAUUUCAUCCAUGAUGACCACAGGCCUGCAGAGGUGAAGCCUUCGCCGGGCCUCCUGGCUGUGAUGCACAAGCAGAAAGGGUCCCACCCAGGCCCUGCCUACCUGCCUGCCAGGCUCCUCCUCCAGUGCCUUUGGGUGACUUCUCCAGGAGGCUUGAGACACCCAGGUGUCCCCAAGGCCAUUGCCCGUGGACACUGGAGUGGCCGAGAUGCAGAGGGGCAGCUCUGCUGAGUGUGCAGAUGUAGAGGACCAGUGACUCAGUGUGGUCGUCAUGGGAAUCAUGGCAGUAAGGCUGUGAUCCUACUGUGUUGCCCAGAGGAGGUGCUGUGGGGCCCAAGGACUCAAAAUUGUACACAACCACCAUGUUUGUGUUGGUGCCGGUUCCGUAGACUCCACGGUUCGAGUGGAGGUGGCGUGACCCCAGAGAGAAGCCCUGGGGCCCUCACUGGAGACCCUGUCAGGUUAUGCUCCCAUACUGCCCACACUGAAGGAUGCCCUAGGUCCCAGGCCUCUGCAGCUUGCCUGUGGUUUUAUUAGGUGUGAGAACUUCAGGUCAUGGCUCAUGGUAGCAUGUGGCUCUGGAGACCUCUUGGAAGAAAUCGGGUGCAAAGUAUUUAGAGUAGCUGGAGGUCUCUUGAGUCGAUAAGCUCUAGUCCUUAUCUCAUGGAUCCCAUGAAACAUGUAAAUACUGCUCCUUUCCCAUUGACUGCCAGGAAGCUCUGACCCCUACGUGUAGCCCACAGGCCACUUGGCUCUUACGCUGACCUUGUUCCUGCUUCUUUCGGACUUUCAUACUCUUCUUUUCUGCUUGCCUCAUUUUCAUCGCCUAAUUUUCCCAGGGAAGAAAAAACCUUGCUGUUUUAUGUUUUUGAGCCUUAACUAAACAAACAUCUAUGGUGGCUCAGUGUUGGCUCCUGCAGAUCCGGGAUUAAGCAUUUCCUCCCCAGCCUCUAUCCCAGCCAACUCCCCCUUCCCUGUCCAGUUCCCUGCCCUUUGCUCUGGUUCCUGGCACCCCAGAGCUUUGGGGGCCCCUCCAUCCCGGCUCUGAGUCUGCUCAGAGAGACAACGUUCAGUUCCCUUUUUCUCCACUUUCCUUCCCCAUCCCCCUUGGCCUUUAUAAGAGUCCUGGGGAGGAGAGAGGGAAGGGAGGCAUGUCCCCAAGUUCCGAGGGAGCUGUUCUCCAUAACCCCAGCUCCUGCCCUGUCCCAACGGUGUCCAGCCAACUGCUGUCCAUCACGGCCACCCAAUCAGGGAGAGCCCAGCUCUAGGGGAAGCAGCGGGGCACCUUGUAAAUAGGAGAGGGAACAGCUGGUCAGCAGUGCCCUGGGUUUAGGACAGGAUGGGCCCCACCCUGUCACAGCUACCUUUCCAGCUCUUGUGUGAAGUGGCUUCAAUUCAUCUGAGGAUUAUGACUCAAAGCUCCCCAUGAACUGUCUCUCGGCUCUACCUUGCACGUCACACAGUUUCUGGUUCACGUCCCCAGUGUGUUUCUGCAGGUAUAUAAAUAUUUGUGUGUGCUCCUUAUAAAACCAGAGAUGGUGGUAGGUAUCACACCUCGUUCUCUGGCCCUAGCUGUUUUGACUCUCUACAUGGGAUGCUUGUUCCUCGUUAGUACAAAGCGGAUCCCUGGAGCCCUCUCUGAGCAGUGAAGGGGUCAGGCCUCUGGGGCGGGGGCCUCCUCAGCUUCAGGAGGUCCCGGGAAACAUAUAAGUUGUGUGUGUAACAUUGUGGGUACAAAUGGCAUUUUCUGGGACAAGGACUUGUGUUUCCCAAGGGGCCUGUGGCCCAGACAGAGUACAGAGCUGCCCCUGGGCCGAGCUGGAUUCCCACCAAGCAGGGAGGGAGAACAGAGCCUGUGGGCCUCAGCCCGUGGGGCAGCCACAGAUGAUGCCGGAGCUGGGGGACAGUCAAAGACACCCCACUCUAGUCCCUUCUGGAAGAUGCCUGGACAUGCGCACUGCCAAGGGGGGCCCGUCGGCUGCGAGGGUGGCCCAAGUGUGGAGUGGGGGUCUUCGUGAGAUGGAGAAGCCCGGUCGGUCGUCAGAGCUGGGGCCCUCUGGUCUCUGGAUCGAUGGUCAGAGCCAAGGCGCAGAGGCCAGGGAGAGCCCUUGGCCACUCAGCCAGGGAAGGGUGGAGGCCAUGGCUCCCCUGCGGGGACAGAAACUUCAGUGUUCUUCCCUCCCGAGGAAAGAGGCCUCGGAUGAGGCGAGGCUGCCUGUGGCUGCUGGCUCUGGAGUGAUUGAGGAGGGGGGUGCGCAGCCGGGACGGGUGCUGUCAGCACACCUCGCUGCUUCCUGCGGCCUUCAUCUCCCGCUGGCCACUGCUUCUGCUUAGAACCUGCCAGGCAAACGCCGGUCCAGGAGGCUGCACUACAGCCUCUGGCCACUAGAGGGCAGCAGGAAAGCCACUGCGGUGCCUAAGGAGAGAGGCGGGGCAGAAGGGGGUGGGAGAAGUCUGUGUGUGUCCCUGUCAGAGUGAGACCCCGUGGGCUGCAGGGUGAUGUGUAAUGAGGCACUUUCCCUGGAGAGAAGAGCAAAGCAUUAAUGAUGAUACUAUUAAUUGCUUUAUAGGGUGCUUGCCUUGUGCUGGGUGCUGUCAGAACUAAUUAGUCCUCCCAACAGCCUUGUUAUAAUUACUCCCACUUUGCAGGUGAGAAAACAGAGGCCCAGAAAGAUUAAGACAUCCAGACAAGCUCCCACAGCCAGUAAGUGGGCGAGCUGGGAGAGCCUGCACCUUAACUAAAUGUCUGGAAUUGUCUGAAUCCUUUAAGAACUCUUCCAAUUCUUAUAAUCACUGCUGUGAUUGUACCCAUUAUGGAUGGGGAAACUGAGGCUCAGGGGCAGCAGGUGAAUCACCCAGGUGUGCAUCCCUGCUGAGUGACAGAUCCAGGCUGACAUGGCUCACAGCUUGAGGCCUUAGCCCUGAACUUGAGCUUUUCCGAAUCAAGUUCUGCUCCUCUCCCACCAGGGGCGCCCAUUGGAAGCUGGCUGGCGCUGAGGUGGGAGCUUUCUCCUGGGCGUGGAGUUAGUUCACCAUCUCCCCUGUCUUCCAACACAAAGGACGGAUCCUGGGCUCCCGUGUUGGAGGCACGAUGCCCUAGAGGUGGAGGGAGGCCAUUCCUGAGUCACUGGAAGCCCAGAAGGGGGCCUGGGCUCCACCUUCUAACUUGGAGCCCAGGGGCAUUGGGGAGGCUUUUGCAGUGGCCAGCGCUCCCUUGGGAACAGCAGGACCUGGCCCUGGGGCUCGGGUUUCCAGGGCAGAUGCCUCCAGCAUGCCAAGGACACUUGGCUAGCCCUGGACCUGCCUCUGCCAGGUUGGCAGGGGAGCAAGGCACUUCCAGGAGGGCCGGAUCCCCCCAUCUUCCUGUUCCCAUGCCCUGGCUCUGGCCUCCCUGGGAGGUGCGGGUGGCCUUUGUCUGGGCUUCAGACACUGGCUCCCCAGUGCCCAGGCUGUGCCUUGUGAACCCCGCCCCUGUCUUAGGGACAGAUGGCACUGAGCAGAACAGCAGCUCCUGCUCCUGGCCUUACGCUUCUCUGGUGGGGGUGCAGAGAGAGUUAGGGCAACAUGGCAGAUGCUCCUCUUUGGAGAACCUCCCGGGUGCAUUUUGUCUUGGGAUCCCAGAUUUCAGGGGAUGUUGUCUCAGGGCUGAAAUACCGGUGAGCCAGGGAGUAGAUCCAGGAAGAAGAUUUGUGUGUGGACUUCACAGCACAUAGCCUGGCCUAGGGUCCUGGCUGUGCCCCUUUGGGGUGUGAGCUUGGGGAAGUCACCUCACCACCAUGAGCCUUAGCUCCCCUCUCUGUACAAUGGGCAGUGACUGUCGACCUCACAGGGUUGGCACGAGGGUGGGAUGAGUGCCCACAGGAGGAGUCCAUGCCUGGGGGCAUGCUUGGGAGUGCCCAUGAGGACUGGCCUUCCCUGGCACGAUGUUACCCAUAAACCCCGGGGCAGGGCUUGCCCCCCAGGAGAGCUGAGAGGUGUCUGGGACUGCAUGCAGCCAGAUGCGAUGGUAUUGCAACUCAAGGCGGACUCCUCAGUACUUAAAACUGUCACCCGCACUACUGUUGUUGGCAUUCCCUGCCCAGUUUCUUCUUGAAUGCCGUCAGUUCCCUUUUGUCUUGGGCACUCGGGCAGAGGAGCGGCCUGUACUUGGCAGGGGAGCCAGGCACCCAGCAGAGAGGGUUUCGCACUCCAGGAUGGGGGCCGCAUCCCCUGCAGGCAGAAGGUGAAGUCAGGGUGCAAUGGGGUGUGGUGGAGGCUGUGGCUCUUCUCUGAUCACUGGGAAUCUGGACUGUGCUCUUUUCUCUAUUUACUGCCACUUGGUGACCUGGUAUGGAUUUGUAUCUAUAGCGAGUCAAGUUUCAUGUUGAAAACUGGACUCCCAGGCCUGGAGCUGCAGUGUGCCCUCUGCUAUCUCAGCCCAGGCUCGGUUCCCCUCCCGAAGCCCAGCUCCAUUUCCUCCCUUGGGGCUGAUGGUGAGGGGCCCUAAGCCCUGGCUAGAGUCUGACCCGGAGGGACUGCGCUUUCUGCUAUUUCUUAUCUGCUUCUGCAUAUUGCCUUAGUCUUUGAGCCUUCACUGCUCUCUCUAUACCAUGGGAGUGAGGAGCGGCCUCUCCCUGUGGGUUUGUAGGGCUACCAUGGUGCCAGGACUUGCGGGAGCCAGGGCAGGGGGCUGUGCAGGUUUGGAAAAUGAAGAUCCACUGGCCUGACCCCAGAGAAGCCACAGCAAAUAGCAGAAUGUGUGACAAAUAGCACAGGUAUUUCACCCCAUCAGUCGUGAACGAAUGAAUGAACGGACCAGACAGCGAAGGGGAAGGGAUGCACUUCAAGCCUGACCCCUUCUGAUACUCUUAUGAAGGUCAGGAACCGUGCUGGGUCCUUUCAACAAAUGCUGGAGGAACAGAAAGUUCGAGAAAGUGGGAUCUCCUGGGGGUGGGUCAGAGAGCGUGGGCUCUGGGGAAACUUCUGUUUGGGGUUAUAGUGGCUGAUGAGCUCAGGCAGGCCCCCUCACCCCUUCACUGGGCUCUGUGCAGAGUUCUUGAGGGGGAAGAAAUCAGCUCACGUGAGUAAAAGAUGUGGUACUUUGGCAGUGCGUGGUAGAGGAUGACCGAAUCAUCGCCUCCCAUCUUGGCGUUGUAACGCAGACUUGGUGCAGCUCAUUAAUAAGGUCCACUUCUGCUUUGCGUUUCAGGUAGCUGCUCUGCUCUCAUCGGUGUGGUUGAGGAGGAAGAAUCCCUCUUCCUGGCUGGCCCUCUGGAGCUGUGCUUUUGACCUGGAGGCUGGGGGGUGAGCCCUGUGCCUGAUCUCCACCCCCAUCACUGAACAAGUUGGAUUUUGUCUCACUGAUUUCAAAUGCAGAACCAAUGGGGGCCGCGCUGACUUUCAGGAGUCUGGGCACUCAGGCUGGCCGGCCUCUGCCCAUGGGCCUUGUGCCAGCAGAGGGGCACAGGCUCAUUGGGAGGGUAAGGGGGGAGGUAAGUGAAGGUGAGAUGUGGCCCAAGAUGCAGGACCUUGGGCACCAGAGAUGGCACUUGCUUGGUUGGGGCCCUGGAGUCAGUGAUAAAUCCAGGGGGCAUUCGGGGCCCCUCACUGCCUGGCCCUGGGGGCGGCCUGUGGGCCACAGGGCACAGGAGAGAAUGUAGGAGGCGACCCUGGGAGCCCAGCCCUACCCUCAGGACUCUGUCUUCUCUGCAGGCUGCUGGCCACAGGGCUGCUGCACAGGCUUGGCCCGCAGGACCAUUGCUGGCUUGGCCUGGCGACACUGGUGGCUGCAGACUGUCCAGCCUGGGACAGCCCCUCUUUGACCUCGAGCCGUGCAGAAGCAGCCCCAUGAAGGUGGCCAGCCAUGCAAUGCUCCUGGAAGGCCGUGCUCCUCCUGGCCCUGGCCUCCAUCGCUAUCCAGUACACGGCCAUCCGCACUUUCACCGCCAAGUCCUUCCACACCUGCCCUGGGCUGGCCGAGGCCGGGCUGGCCGAGCGGCCGUGCGAGGAGGGCCCCACCUUCGCCUAUAACCUCUCUCGGAAGACCCACGUCCUCAUCCUGGCCACCACUCGAAGUGGCUCGUCCUUCGUGGGCCAGCUCUUCAACCAGCACCUGGACGUCUUCUACCUGUUCGAGCCCCUCUACCACGUCCAGAACACGCUCAUCCCCCGCUUCACCCAGGGCAAGAGCCCGGCCGACCGAGCGGGUCAUGCUGGGUGCCAGCCGUGACCUGCUGCGGAGCCCUCUAUGACUGCGACCUCUACUUCCUGGAGAACUACAUCAAGCCGCCUCCAGUCAACCACACCACCGACAGGAUCUUCCGCCGAGGGGCCAGCAGGGUCCUCUGCUCCCGGCCGGUGUGUGACCCCCGGGGAGCCCCGACCUGGUCCUGGAAGAGGGGACUGCGUGCGGAAGUGUGGGCUGCUGAACCUGACCGUGGCCGCCGAGGCCUGCCGCGAGCGCAGCCAUGUGGCCAUCAAGACGGUGCGGGUGCCAGAGGUGAACGACUUGCGGGCUCUGGUCGAAGACCCCCGCUGAACCUCAAGGUCAUCCAGCUGGUCCGAGACCCCGGGGCAUUCUGGCCUCCCGAAGCGAGACCUUCCGUGACACGUACCGGCUGUGGCGGCUCUGGUGCACGUGCACGGGGAGGAAGCCGUACAACCUGGACGUGACGCAGCUGACCACGGUGUGCGAGGACUUCUCCAACUCCGUGUCCACGGGCCUCAUGCGGCCCUCGUGGCUCAAGGGCAAGUACAUGCUGGUGCGCUACGAGGACCUGGCCAGGAACCCCAUGAAGAAGACCGAGGAGAUCUACGGCUUCCUGGGGAUCCCCCUGGACGGCCAUGUGGCCCGCUGGAUCCAGAACAACACUCGGGCCGACCCCACCCUGGCCAAGCACAAGUACGGCACCGUGCGGAACUCGGCUGCCACAGCUGAGAAGUGGCGCUUCCGCCUCUCCUACGACAUCGUGGCCUUCGCCCAGAGCACCCUGUCAGCAGGUGCUGGCCCAGCUGGGGUACAAGAUAGCCGGGUCGGAAGAGGAGCUGAAGAACCCCUCCAUCAGUCUGGUGGAGGAGCGGGACUUCGGCCCUUCUCGUGAGGCGGGCGUGCGGGGGGUGGGGCGCCAGGGGUCGGACCAUUUCUAACUGUUGCCUUAUUUCCCGCCCGCGCCCGCCCGCCCGUCUGUCUCGCCCGGCCUAUCUUUGUGUCCUCCCUGCCCUCUGCCCGCCUCUACUCCCUGCUGCCUCUUUUUGUCUCUGAAAUUUGCACUACCAUCGUAGGGGGAAUCCCUGGGGCAGAGGGCAGGGAGAAGUGGGGGACGCCCCGCACCCCAUGCAGACACACGGAUGUUGGGUCUCUAGGUGGACCGUGAUGAUGUUUACAAGCACCCCACUCACACAUGCACACAACGCACAUGGGGACCGGUGGGGAGAGGCACCCCGACCCCCAGCCUCCAAGCUUUUGGAAUGGAUGAGUGUGGGGUGGGGGGUUGGGGUUUUGCACUGUCUUACUUCUGCAAAGUAAGGGGAUGGAAACGAAGGACCACCUCUGGCUGACGUAGGAAAGGGGUCUCUCCCUCCCCCCUACCUGCUCCCCGCCCCUGGCACCCACCUUCUCCCUUAGAGUAGAGAUUCUGCUCCCUCCCUGCCUGCCGCCCUUGCCUGUCGGGGAGCAGGUUCUAACUGUGAGGUGAACGUGGGCCUUGUUGAUCUUCUCCAGUCUGUGGUGAUGCUGACUGUCUGUCUGUCUGUCCGUCUUAGUCUUGUGGCUGCCCCUGGACCGGCAAUAACGGGUGAGUCUUCUUACUAUGAAUUUCUGGUUGAUUUUGGGGUCCAUCUGUGAAAUUUCUUUGUGCCAAAAAGAAAAAAAAAAGAGAGUGGAUCAGUUUGCUAAAUGAACAUUGAAAUGCUUUAUCUGUGUUUUCUGUAAAUAAAAGUGUGC